CAGGCCAAGGACAAGGGGGGCCAUGUCAGGAGCCACAGGCUACAGCAGCCCUUCCAGUCGGUCUUCAACAGCGUAGGACCUCUAUUGCUCGGAGAGCCAGCAAGCACCCAUGACCAUCAAAGAUGGGAACAAAGACUUGGAGGGCUCCUGAACUUUCUGGAAACAAAAUUGUCUAGGUUACAGAGGCCAGUAUGUAAAGGCCACCAGAGAACUGUGGAGAGCCUCACAAGUUGACUGUCAGCAAUUUGGAAAGCGGACAGCUUCCCCAACCAACAAUCCAAGGAUGGAAGGGCUAGAGUCACAGGCGUUGAGUGACACCCACUAAGUGUACAUAAGGGAAAUAAAGCCAGUUCCCCAAAACUAA
ensembl:antisense Gm43989 predicted gene, 43989